rfam:Asian citrus Psyllid, Diaphorina citri - Florida Strain, whole genome shotgun sequence.
GCCUAGUUAGCUUAGUUGGUAGUGCGUCUGCCUUGUAAGCGCUAGGCCGCGGGUUCCAUUCCCGCCCAGGGCG